rnacentral:rRNA from 1 species
UGCGGGGGGAGCAAGCGUUACUCGGAAUCACUGGGCGUAAAGGGCGCGUAGGCGGCCUAGCAAGUCUGGUGUGAAAGCCCAGGGCUCAACCCUGGAAGGGCACUGGAAACUGUUAGGCUUGAGUUCCGGAGAGGAGGGGGGAACUCCCGGUGUAGCGGUGAAAUGCGUAGAUAUCGGGAGGAAUACCGGUGGCGAAGGUGCCCCUCUGGACGGAAACUGACGCUGAGACACGAAAGCGUGGGGAGCAAACAGG